GGGCAGGAUAGGCAUUUGUAACACCGCGAACAAGUCGGCGGGCCACAAAUGCACCCUUAUUCGCACUACCGUGCUCAACGUAAUCCUGCUCUGCGAGGCU
rfam:Sedimenticola thiotaurini strain SIP-G1 plasmid, complete sequence.